GGAAAAGGCAGAUUAAUAAUGCUGCGCUGUACAGGAUAGGACAUGCAUAUUUAUGAAACCUCAUGAAUUAUUCGCCAAAUUGAGUCAAGUCAACAUUCAUCUUGGAGCUCUGCACUUAACGUAAAUGGAGCCAGAAUCACUGAUCUACCAGGAAACUGGGACUUACUGCUGUGUGCAAAGCCUGAUUUGAAGAAGGAACAAUCUGAAGUCUUAUGAGAGAGCCCAUUUUCACAGGAUUAAGAGCCCAGUUUUAAAAAUACACAAUUGCUGUUUAAAAAUUACCCCUAGUAAAUUAUUGAUUGGACCAAUAGAAUGAUCAACAAAUCUUCUAAUGCAUCUCAGAACAUGUAGAACCUGGGGCCAGAUCCUCAGAUGAUGCCAGUCAGUGAAUCUCCAUGCAACGCAAUGAAGCUAAACCAACCGCCACUAGCUGAGGAUCUGUCUGCUGAUCUGGAAGGGGGUGCCAGCAGUUUCUCCUGACCCUUUAAAACUAUUUGUAGCAUAACAUGUUUGCAAGUCAUUAUUCUGAUGUAUAUUUUCAAAUUGUUAGCUAUCUUUUAAAGUCAUUACACCGCAGUGCAUUCCCUAUUGCAGCCUUGGACACAUACACUCCUACCUCAUCUUCCCCAACAGGUGAAAUGAGUACGGCAGUGGUGAUGGAAGAGCCCAAAAAAGAUUCCUGGAAAGGGUUCUCCCAGGAGCUAUCUGUGAGCUCCAGGCUUUUGUUCUAGCUGUUGAUGUGACUGUGAGCCGUCUAUCCACUGAGGUCACCUUUGGAGAAAUGUGAAGCAGAAGAAAAUUACUUUGUUGGGAAAUUAAACAAGUGACAGUGAUUGAAAUUGCUACUGCCGUGAUGGAAUUCAACUUAUUACACGCUUGAGCACCCAUUAGAAGAAGAGAAGGUGAUGCAUGAUUGUUGCUUCCAGCAUGUGGUUAGUGAGGAAGAAAUGCUACACCUCCAAAGCAGGCAAUAAUAGAAAACAUCUGCCUCAUUUUCAGUUCUACGGAGACCGCUAUCCAGGAUAUGUCCUCUGACAUAGCUGCUCAGAAGCAGGUCAUUCCUCUCAUCAAACUCCUCA